UGUUGGUUCUCCCGCAACGCUACUCUGUUUACCAGGUCAGGUCCGGAAGGAAGCAGCCAAGGCAGAUGACGCGUGUGCUGGGAUGUAGCUGGCAGGG
rnacentral:SRP_RNA from 4 species